UGGCAGCACGGGAGCAACCCUGGGUGGUUUAGUGGCAGAACGGGAUGAGUAAUAUAUCGGAACGUGCCCCAGUCGUCGGGGGAUAACGCAGCGAAAGCUGUGCUAAUACCGCAUACGAUCUACGAGAUGAAAGCGGGGUGAUCAGCAAGACCUCGCAGCGAUUGGAGCGGCCGAUAUCAGAUUAUGCUAGUUGGUGGGGUAAAGUGCCCACCAAGGCGACGAUCUGUAGCUGGUCUGAGAGAGACGACCAGCCACACUGGAACUGAGACACGGUCCAACACUCCUACGGGAGGCAGCAAGUGGGGAAUUUUGGACAAUGGGCGCAAGCCUGAUCCAGCAAUGCCGCGUGCAGGAUGAAGGCCUUCAGGGUUGUAAACUGCUUUUGUACGGAACGAAACAGGUGAGCUCUAAUAAAGUUUGCUAAUGACGGUACCGUAAGAAUAAGCACCGGCUAACUACGUGCCAGCAGCCGCGGUAAUACAGUAGGGUGCUGAGCGUUCAUCGGAAUUACUGGGCGUACAGCGUGCGCAGGCGGUUAUGUAAGACAGAUGUGAAAUCCCCGGGCUCAAACUGGGACCUGCAUUUGUGACUGCCCAUAGCUAGAGGUAACGGUAGACGGGGAUGGAAUCCCGCGUGUAGCAGUGACAUGCGUAGAUAUGCGGAGUGAACACCGAUGGGCGAAGGCAAUCCCCCUGGGUCACCUGGUUACUUGGACCGCCUCAUGGCACGAAAAAGCAGUUGGGGGACAGCAAAACAGGGGAUUACGAUACCCCUGGUUGUCCAACGCCCUCAAACGAUGUUCACCGGGUUGUUGGGUUUUCACAUGACAUCAGACAACAAGAUAAACCAUUGAAUUAACGCUGGGAAUAAGACCCCAAGGUUUCAACUCC
rnacentral:rRNA from 1 species